CAUUCCUCUUGCCAUGGCCAGGAUGGGUGCCUUCUGUGACCACGGGUAUCCUGGUGUCACCAGGGUCAGUGGGGUGAGGAAGAACCACCCGAGGCCACGCAAUUAGAGUGUGUGCUUUUAUUUAUUGGUUUAUUUAUUGGCAUACAUGCUGACCUAUUUAUUUAUGCAAUAUGUAUGUAUGAUACCGGAGCUCCACUUCUGUCUUUGAAGCAUCAGCCCCAGAAUUUGUCUUGUAGGUCCCAAAUAACAGUGAAUUAUUCCUCUCAGAAGCCACAGAAAAGAGGAGACAUUCUCUCCCUCUGCCCACGUACCCCCACUCCAGCCAGAUUUCCCACCAGAAAACACCAGCUAGCGAGGCUGUCGGACCCCACGUCACAGAGGCUCCACCGUCUGGACAGAAGCCCCAGGGCCCUCCUGACCUGUCCUCCCCCUCAGCUCCUUCCUGACUCCGCAGGCCCCAGCUGCCCAGCUCCCACCCGGCCACGAGGAGCAUGGUGCUCACGCUGCUCUGACGUAGCACGUUAACUCCAGAUGCAUCCGCGCCUGCUCUCCACCCAAACCAGUCGCGGCAGGCUGUCCCCGCAUGGUGGGCGGGCAUGGUGUCCCUCACUUACCAGGUGAUUCUGCUGUGAAAACAAGGCCGAGAAGUUCUUCCAGGGUCUUCUCCCCUUGCCCCUCCCACCACUCAGGUCCCUGCCUCCCGGCUUCCUCUGGAGUCCCCUCUGUCCCCCCAGCCUGGCUCCCCACUGAACAUUCCCACCAGCCCAGCCAGCCUGAGCAGAUGUCUGGAGAGCUGGGCAGUCCCAGAGUCAUGCCCCGAGGCUGGCACCGGCCCUGCCUGAGCCUGCUCCCCGAGUUCAGCUUCUCUAGGAGCCGAAGCCCCUCCCGGCCUGGCCGCUCUCUCCUCCUGCACCUCCCCCAGUCUCCCAAACUCCAAAGGUUUAAAGGGCACAGUGUUGACAUCCCUGUCUCCAGGCCCCAAUCCUAACAGCAAGGCCACGCCAGUCUCCGUAAGCAAAGCCAGGCCAUUUCCACAGAGCCACCUGAGUUGGCAGAGGGGCUAACUGACACCAGGAAGGGUCAUGACACCCCCAAGCCAGUCUUUUGCCCAACGACCUUGCAGUGGCCACCAUGCAUCCGAAUCCUAGAUGGCCGGGAAGAGACAUCGCCCUUCACAUUGGCGAGGCCUUGACUGCUGAGUGUGUGCAAGUGUGCGUGUGAGUGUGUGUGUGCAUGUGUGCACACCCUGUCUGCACAUAAGACCUGGACCUGCAGAGCUUCCGGAUUUUGACUUUAUGGUAAUGAGAAUCUGCACGAGACAGUUGGGGACUUCUGUCAUCUUUGACUCGACAGGGAUCUGCUGUCCUGUUUUCAAGAGGGACCAGUGCAUUCCAUUUUAGGUACACACAGAGAAUGCUGUAAUAGGCACAGACCCUCGGCCACCCCACACACCCAGAGCCUAGGGUGCCUGUGGUGUGGGGCGGCCCCCAGGCUCAGUCUCCCACGGCAAGGACACCGUGCCACUGCCCAGCCGUCCCCUGCCUGCAUUGGCACCUCCAAGCCUUCUCUCCCCGCUAUAGCAUGUCCUGCCCCAAGUCCCGUCUCUCAGGGUCCUGCUCUCUGAUAGGUGACAUUCAGUCAGUGGGUGCUAAAGAGUCGAGAGUCACGCUUCACAGGUAGCAUUUGUUUUAACAGGGGCUACGAAUCAUGCCUUAAUCUGAAGGAGUGGCUGUAGCGGUGGGAACUUCAGGCCAGCCAGGGAGAUUACUUCUUAUCAGAAGGGCAUUUCAGAGCCCUGAGUCACACCCGUCCUGAGACCAGCCCUCCACGCUGCAGAAGCACACUCACCAAGCACACUUCCCUUCCUCUGAGAUGUCCCUGCACCGGCCCCAUCUCUAAAGUGGAAGAGAAAAGCCCAGAAACAGGCUAAGUUAGUCUGAACCUCAUGGGAAGCAGCCUGUCCUCGCACAGGCCAUCAGCCAUCGGGUCCCCGCCCGCCCAGCUUCCUCCCGCCCUCCCCUCUGUGCUGCCCCCUGGGUCCAGGCACCUGUGAGUCCCUCUGCCUCUAGCCUCCAACGCUCCCUCCCCUCCCGGCCCCGGCUGGAGUUGCGCUGUGUUCAGGGUGGCCGGGACGAACCCGCAGGUGAAGAGCGUGAGCAUGUGCGUAUCCCUUG
rnacentral:lncRNA from 1 species